AUGUGCAAAAACAAAAUAAUGAAAGUUUUUUCAAUAAUUUUUCAAUUAAUAUGAAAAGUGAGUAGUAUGUUUUUGAGCGUGCAUUUUUCUGCAUCGAUGCCGAAACCACAAAAAAAAAACAAAAUAAAAAAAAUUGUUGUCACCGUUUUGUUGUCCCAGAAUAAAUAUCGAUUUGAUCGGGAAGAGGUUGGAACAAAUUGGAAUUCUCAACAGCCCGGACUUUAUAACAUCAACAAGGAAGCACGUAAAAGCCUGGUGCCGUCGGUGCCGCAGACACCCCAAGGUGCGGUCAAACUACUGUCCACAGCCAUUGUUGCUCUUGCUGUUAAACUGGACCACAGAUAAACCGGACCAACGUAACAGCCAUUCAUCUCCUGCAAGAAAAAAUCAACUGCCAUCGGAAGUCUAUCCAAGCGCCAAUUCCUACUAAACCGCUGAGAGUGGAAUCGAUAAGCAUUUUCCGAAGUUCCGCUCCUUGAUGUGCUGAGCGGCAACGGGCAGACGACGACAACGCAUAGAAUUUUCCCGGGAAAGAGAGAGAUGGAUUCUUGCAAGUGGCGUGGUAGGACGAGCUCUAAAAAAACAAAUAUUAGGAGAGAUUUUCAGCAUUGCAUUCAGGAGGACAACUAAAUAUGAAUUAUUUUAUUUAUUAAAAUUAUUCCCAUUAUUGGGUCUUUGCGCAAUAGCUAAAUAUAAUCGGAUAAAUUUCACAAAAUAUGUUAAAUUGUUUCAUAUCAGAAAUAAUGAAACAAAAAUAACAUGCAGUAUAAAUAAACUUCAGACAGAAACAGUAAA